rnacentral:misc_RNA from 1 species
GAUGAAGAACGCAGCGAAAUGCGAUAAGUAAUGUGAAUUGCAGAAUUCAGUGAAUCAUCGAAUCUUUGAACGCACAUUGCGCCCGCCAGUAUUCUGGCGGGCAUGCCUGUUCGAGCGUCAUUACAACCCUCAGGCCCCCGGGCCUGGCGUUGGGGAUCGGCGGAGCCCCCCGUGGGCACACGCCGUCCCCCAAAUACCGUGGCGGUCCCGCCGCAGCUUCCAUCGCGUAGUAGCUAACACCUCGCGACUGGAGAGCGGCGCGGCCACGCCGUAAAACACCCAACUCUUCUGAAGUUGACCUCGAAUCAGGUAGGAAUACCCGCUGAACUUAAGCAUAUCAAUAAGCGGAGGA